rnacentral:rRNA from 1 species
GAUGAACGCUAGCGGCAGGCUUAACACAUGCAAGUCGAGGGGUAUGGCAGCAAUGCCAGAGACCGGCGCACGGGUGCGUAACGCGUAUGCAAUCUGCCUUUCACAAAGGAAUAGCCCAGAGAAAUUUGGAUUAAUACCUUAUAGUAUAUUGAUGUGGCAUCACAUUAUUAUUAAAGAUUUAUCGGUGAAAGAUGAGCAUGCGUCCCAUUAGCUAGUUGGUAAGGUAACGGCUUACCAAGGCAACGAUGGGUA